rnacentral:rRNA from 1 species
UACGGGAGGCAGCAGUGGGGAAUAUUGCACAAUGGGCGCAAGCCUGAUGCAGCCAUGCCGCGUGUAUGAAGAAGGCCUUCGGGUUGUAAAGUACUUUCAGUCGUGAGGAAGGUGUUAAGGUUAAUAACCUUAGCAAUUGACGUUAGCGACAGAAGAAGCACCGGCUAACUCCGUGCCAGCAGCCGCGGUAAUACGGAGGGUGCGAGCGUUAAUCGGAAUUACUGGGCGUAAAGGGCACGCAGGCGGUUAAUUAAGUUGGAUGUGAAAUCCCCGGGCUUAACCUGGGAAUGGCAUUCAAGACUGGUUAGCUAGAGUCUUGUAGAGGGGGUAGAAUUCCAUGUGUAGCGGUGAAAUGCGUAGAGAUGUGGAGGAAUACCGGUGGCGAAGGCGGCCCCUGGACAAAGACUGACGCUCAUGUGCGAAAGCUGGGGAGCAAAC